rnacentral:rRNA from 1 species
GUAGGCGGUUUAAUAAGUGAAUAGUGAAACCUGGUGGCUCAACCAUACAGACUAUUAUUCAAACUGUUAAACUCGAGAAUGGUAGAGGUAACUGGAAUUUCUUGUGUAGGAGUGAAAUCCGUAGAUAUAAGAAGGAACACCAAUGGCGUAGGCAGGUUACUGGACCAUUUCUGACACUGAGGCACGAAAGCGUGGGGAGCGAACCGGAUUAGAUACCCGGGUAGUCCACGCCGUAAACGAUGGAUACUAGCUGUUGGAGGUAUCGACCCCUUCAGUAGCGAAGCUAACGCGUUAAGUAUCCCGCCUGUGGAGUACGGUCGCAAGACUAAAACAUAAAGGAAUUGACGGGGACCCGCACAAGCGGUGGAUCGUGUUCUUUAAUUCGAUGAUAAACGAAGAACCUUACCAGGGUUUGACAUCCUUGGAAUUUCUGUGAAAGCAGAGAGUGCUUUAUUGAGCCAAGUGACAGGUGAUGCAUGGCCGUCGUCAGCUCGUGUCGUGAGAUGUUUGGUUAAGUCCAUCAACGAGCGCAACCCUUGUGAUUAGUUGUAUUUUUCUAAUCAGACUGCCCCGGUAACGGGGAGGAAAGGAGGGGAUGAUGUCAGGUCAGUAUUUCCCUUACACCCNUGGGGCUAGAAACACGAUACAAUGGCUAGUACAAUGCGCANCGAANCCGCNAGGUGGAGCA